ACAUUUCAAAAUUGUGAUUCCAGAAUUAACUCCCGUGCUCAGUCGCCACCGUCUCCAUUCGUGACACCCAAGCCCAAAAUUAACCAGCGCUAACAUUGAGAAGGGCAUGGCGAGGAGGAUGAAGGGUGGUAUUACCGUGGUUGAGUGCUGGAAAGGUGUUGGCCACGGCGCAAAGCAGGCUGACGGCGGUGAUGUCGCACCGGCAAGCAAUCCCGACGGGGCUCGUGGCAAUCCUCGAGUGGCUUGGACACGACUACUUUCCUCCGGUCCUUAAGGAGCUACCGAGAACAAUUCCGAGGCGCGGUUGACGGUUAGGUCGGAGUUCCCUGACGGCAGCACCCUCUUUCCCCUCCUGGCGCCGCAAUUUGUGGUACGGUGGUGGUCGCAAGAACGGGGAAAGAGGAGGAAGAGACGGACCCGAGGACGUGGCUUCCCUUAUAAGCGCGAAUUUGACCAGGACGCUUCAACGGACUGCGCGACGACGGCGCGCCCCGCCAUGCGCCGAGGUUCAGUUGAGGGACGGAGCUGACCACUAGGGCCCACA
rnacentral:lncRNA from 7 species